GAUGAACGCUGGCGGCGUGCCUAAUACAUGCAAGUCGAGCGAACGGACGAGAAGCUUGCUUCUCUGAUGUAAGCGGCGGAGGGGCGAGUAACACGUGGAUAACCUACCUAUAAGAAUGGGAUAACUUCGGGAAACCGGAGCGAAGACCGGAUAAUAUUUUGAACCGCAUGGUUCAAAAGUGAAAGACGGUCUUGCUGUCACUUAUAGAUGGGUCCGCGCUGCAUUAGCUAGUUAGUAAGUUAACGGCUUACCAAGGCAACGAUGCAUAGCCGACAUGAAAGGGUGGUCGGCCACACUGGAACUGAGACACGGUCCCGACUCCUACGGGAGGCAGCAGUAGGGACUCUUCCGCAAUGGGCGAAAGCCUGACGGAGCAACGCCGCGUGAGUGAUGAAGGUCUUCGGAUCGUAAAACUCUGUUAUUAGGGAAGAACAUAUGUGUAAGUAACUGUGCACAUCUUGACGGUACCUAAUCAGAAAGCCACGGCUAACUACGUG
rnacentral:rRNA from 1 species